CUACGGGGGGCUGCAGUGAGGAAUAUUGCACAAUGGGGGGAACCCUGAUGCGGCAACGCCGCGUGGAGGAUGACGCAUUUCGGUGUGUAAACUCCUUUUAUAUGUCAAGAAAAUGACGGUAGCAUAUGAAUAAGCACCGGCUAACUCCGUGCCAGCAGCCGCGGUAAUACGGAGGGUGCAAGCGUUACUCGGAAUCACUGGGCGUAAAGGACGCGUAGGCGGGUUGGAAAGUCAGGUGUGAAAUCCUACAGCUUAACUGUAGAACUGCACUUGAAACUUCUAAUCUAGAGUAUGGGAGGGGGAGAUGGAAUUAGUGGUGUAGGGGUAAAAUCCGUAGAUAUCACUAGGAAUACCUAAAGCGAAGGCGAUCUCCUGGGACAUUACUGACGCUAAGGCGUGAAAGCGUGGGGAGCAAACAGGAUUAGAUACCCGUGUAGUC
rnacentral:rRNA from 1 species